rnacentral:rRNA from 2 species
UUAAGCGACCAAGCGUACACGGUGGAUGCCCUGGCAGUCAGAGGCGAUGAAGGACGUGCUAAUCUGCGAUAAGCGCCGGUAAGGUGAUAUGAACCGUUAUAACCGGCGAUUUCCGAAUGGGGAAACCCAGUGUGAUUCGUCACACUAUCAUUAACUGAAUCCAUAGGUUAAUGAGGCGAACCGGGGGAACUGAAACAUCUAAGUACCCCGAGGAAAAGAAAUCAACCGAGAUUCCCCCAGUAGCGGCGAGCGAACGGGGAGGAGCCCAGAGCCUGAAUCAGCAUGUGUGUUAGUGGAAGCGUCUGGAAAGGCGCGCGAUACAGGGUGACAGCCCCGUACACAAAAGCGCAUGUGCUGUGAGCUCGAUGAGUAGGGCGGGACACGUGGUAUCCUGUCUGAAUAUGGGGGGACCAUCCUCCAAGGCUAAAUACUCCUGACUGACCGAUAGUGAACCAGUACCGUGAGGGAAAGGCGAAAAGAACCCCGGCGAGGGGAGUGAAACAGAACCUGAAACCGUGUACGUACAAGCAGUGGGAGCACAGGUUUACCUGUGUGACUGCGUACCUUUUGUAUAAUGGGUCAGCGACUUAUAUUCUGUAGCAAGGUUAACCGCAUAGGGGAGCCGAAGGGAAACCGAGUCUUAAUUGGGCGUUAAGUUGCAGGGUAUAGACCCGAAACCCGGUGAUCUAGCCAUGGGCAGGUUGAAGGUUGGGUAACACUAACUGGAGGACCGAACCGACUAAUGUUGAAAAAUUAGCGGAUGACCUGUGGCUGGGGGUGAAAGGCCAAUCAAACCGGGAGAUAGCUGGUUCUCCCCGAAAGCUAUUUAGGUAGCGCCUCGUGAACUCAUCUCCGGGGGUAGAGCACUGUUUCGGCUAGGGGGCCAUCCCGGCUUACCAACCCGAUGCAAACUGCGAAUACCGGAGAAUGUUAUCACGGGAGACACACGGCGGGUGCUAACGUCCGUCGUGAAGAGGGAAACAACCCAGACCGCCAGCUAAGGUCCCAAAGUCAUGGUUAAGUGGGAAACGAUGUGGGAAGGCCCAGACAGCCAGGAUGUUGGCUUAGAAGCAGCCAUCAUUUAAAGAAAGCGUAAUAGCUCACUGGUCGAGUCGGCCUGCGCGGAAGAUGUAACGGGGCUAAACCAUGCACCGAAGCUGCGGCAGCGACACUGUGUGUUGUUGGGUAGGGGAGCGUUCUGUAAGCCGUUGAAGGUGUGUCGUGAGGCAUGCUGGAGGUAUCAGAAGUGCGAAUGCUGACAUAAGUAACGAUAAAGCGGGUGAAAAGCCCGCUCGCCGGAAGACCAAGGGUUCCUGUCCAACGUUAAUCGGGGCAGGGUGAGUCGACCCCUAAGGCGAGGCCGAAAGGCGUAGUCGAUGGGAAACGGGUUAAUAUUCCCGUACUUGGUGUUACUGCGAAGGGGGGACGGAGAAGGCUAUGUUGGCCGGGCGACGGUUGUCCCGGUUUAAGCGUGUAGGUGUGUGUUCCAGGUAAAUCCGGUUCACUUUAACACUGAGGCGUGACGACGAGGCACUACGGUGCUGAAGCAACAAAUGCCCUGCUUCCAGGAAAAGCCUCUAAGCAUCAGGUAACAUCAAAUCGUACCCCAAACCGACACAGGUGGUCAGGUAGAGAAUACCAAGGCGCUUGAGAGAACUCGGGUGAAGGAACUAGGCAAAAUGGUGCCGUAACUUCGGGAGAAGGCACGCUGACACGUAGGUGAAGUGGUUUACCCAUGGAGCUGAAGUCAGUCGAAGAUACCAGCUGGCUGCAACUGUUUAUUAAAAACACAGCACUGUGCAAACACGAAAGUGGACGUAUACGGUGUGACGCCUGCCCGGUGCCGGAAGGUUAAUUGAUGGGGUCAGCGCAAGCGAAGCUCCUGAUCGAAGCCCCGGUAAACGGCGGCCGUAACUAUAACGGUCCUAAGGUAGCGAAAUUCCUUGUCGGGUAAGUUCCGACCUGCACGAAUGGCGUAAUGAUGGCCAGGCUGUCUCCACCCGAGACUCAGUGAAAUUGAACUCGCUGUGAAGAUGCAGUGUACCCGCGGCAAGACGGAAAGACCCCGUGAACCUUUACUAUAGCUUGACACUGAACAUUGAGCCUUGAUGUGUAGGAUAGGUGGGAGGCUUUGAAGCGUGGACGCCAGUCUGCGUGGAGCCAACCUUGAAAUACCACCCUUUAAUGUUUGAUGUUCUAACGUGGACCCGUGAUCCGGGUUGCGGACAGUGUCUGGUGGGUAGUUUGACUGGGGCGGUCUCCUCCUAAAGAGUAACGGAGGAGCACGAAGGUUGGCUAAUCCUGGUCGGACAUCAGGAGGUUAGUGCAAUGGCAUAAGCCAGCUUGACUGCGAGCGUGACGGCGCGAGCAGGUGCGAAAGCAGGUCAUAGUGAUCCGGUGGUUCUGAAUGGAAGGGCCAUCGCUCAACGGAUAAAAGGUACUCCGGGGAUAACAGGCUGAUACCGCCCAAGAGUUCAUAUCGACGGCGGUGUUUGGCACCUCGAUGUCGGCUCAUCACAUCCUGGGGCUGAAGUAGGUCCCAAGGGUAUGGCUGUUCGCCAUUUAAAGUGGUACGCGAGCUGGGUUUAGAACGUCGUGAGACAGUUCGGUCCCUAUCUGCCGUGGGCGCUGGAGAACUGAGGGGGGCUGCUCCUAGUACGAGAGGACCGGAGUGGACGCAUCACUGGUGUUCGGGUUGUCAUGCCAAUGGCACUGCCCGGUAGCUAAAUGCGGAAGAGAUAAGUGCUGAAAGCAUCUAAGCACGAAACUUGCCCCGAGAUGAGUUCUCCCUGAGACUUAGAGUCUCCUGAAGGAACGUUGAAGACGACGACGUUGAUAGGCCGGGUGUGUAAGCGCAGCGAUGCGUUGAGCUAACCGGUACUAAUGAACCGUGAGGCUUAACCUU